ACGGGUGAGUAACACGUAGGAAUCUGCCUUGAAGAGGGGGACAACCCGAGGAAACUCGGGCUAAUACCGCAUAAUUUCUGAGGAAGAAAGGCUGGGUAGUAAUACCUGGCGCUUUAAGAGGAGCCUGCGUCCGAUUAGCUAGUUGGUUAGGUAAAGGCUGACCAAGGCGAUGAUCGGUAACUGGUCUGAGAGGAUGACCAGUCACACUGGGACUGAGACACGGCCCAGACUCCUACGGGAGGCAGCAGUGGGGAAUCUUGGACAAUGGGGGCAACCCUGAUCCAGCGAUGCCGCGUGUGUGAAGAAGGCCUUCGGGUUGUAAAGCACUUUAGUUGGGGAGGAAGGCUAGUAGUUUAAGAGAUGACUAGUUUGACUGUACCCAAAGAAUAAGCACCGGCUAACUCUGUGCCAGCAGCCGCGGUAAUACAGAGGGUGCAAGCGUUAAUCGGAAUUACUGGGCGUAAAGGGCGCGUAGGCGGUCAUGUAAGUUGGAUGUGAAAUCCCUGGGCUUAACCUAGGAACUGCAUCCAAAACUGUGUGACUAGAGUGCGGUAGAGGGUAGUGGAAUUUCCGGUGU
rnacentral:rRNA from 1 species